AGCAACAAAUGCCCUGCUUCCAGGAAAAGCCUCUAAGCAUCAGGUAACAUCAAAUCGUACCCCAAACCGACACAGGUGGUCAGGUAGAGAAUACCAAGGCGCUUGAGAGAACUCGGGUGAAGGAACUAGGCAAAAUGGUGCCGUAACUUCGGGAGAAGGCACGCUGACACGUAGGUGAAGUGAUUUACUCAUGGAGCUGAAGUCAGUCGAAGAUACCAGCUGGCUGCAACUGUUUAUUAAAAACACAGCACUGUGCAAACACGAAAGUGGACGUAUACGGUGUGACGCCUGCCCGGUGCCGGAAGGUUAAUUGAUGGGGUCAGCGCAAGCGAAGCUCCUGAUCGAAGCCCCGGUAAACGGCGGCCGUAACUAUAACGGUCCUAAGGUAGCGAAAUUCCUUGUCGGGUAAGUUCCGACCUGCACGAAUGGCGUAAUGAUGGCCAGGCUGUCUCCACCCGAGACUCAGUGAAAUUGAACUCGCUGUGAAGAUGCAGUGUACCCGCGGCAAGACGGAAAGACCCCGUGAACCUUUACUAUAGCUUGACACUGAACAUUGAGCCUUGAUGUGUAGGAUAGGUGGGAGGCUUUGAAGCGUGGACGCCAGUCUGCGUGGAGCCGACCUUGAAAUACCACCCUUUAAUGUUUGAUGUUCUAACGUGGACCCGUAAUCCGGGUUGCGGACAGUGUCUGGUGGGUAGUUUGACUGGGGCGGUCUCCUCCUAAAGAGUAACGGAGGAGCACGAAGGUUGGCUAAUCCUGGUCGGACAUCAGGAGGUUAGUGCAAUGGCAUAAGCCAGCUUGACUGCGAGCGUGACGGCGCGAGCAGGUGCGAAAGCAGGUCAUAGUGAUCCGGUGGUUCUGAAUGGAAGGGCCAUCGCUCAACGGAUAAAAGGUACUCCGGGGAUAACAGGCUGAUACCGCCCAAGAGUUCAUAUCGACGGCGGUGUUUGGCACCUCGAUGUCGGCUCAUCACAUCCUGGGGCUGAAGUAGGUCCCAAGGGUAUGGCUGUUCGCCAUUUAAAGUGGUACGCGAGCUGGGUUUAGAACGUCGUGAGACAGUUCGGUCCCUAUCUGCCGUGGGCGCUGGAAGACUGAGGGGGGCUGCUCCUAGUACGAGAGGACCGGAGUGGACGCAUCACUGGUGUUCGGGUUGUCAUGCCAAUGGCACUGCCCGGUAGCUAAAUGCGGAAAAGAUAAGUGCUGAAAGCAUCUAAGCACGAAACUUGCCCCGAGAUGAGUCUUCCCUGAGACUUUGAGUCUCCUGAAGGAACGUUAAAGACGAUGACGUUGAUAGGCC
rnacentral:rRNA from 1 species